rnacentral:rRNA from 1 species
UACGAAGGGGGCUAGCGUUGUUCGGAGUUACUGGGCGUAAAGGGCGCGUAGGCGGCGCACCAAGUCAGGCGUGAAAGCCCUGGGCUCAACCCGGGAAUUGCGCUUGAGACUGGUGUGCUAGAGUACGGGAGAGGAUAGUGGAAUUCCCAGUGUAGAGGUGAAAUUCGUAGAUAUUCGCAAGAACACCAGUGGCGAAGGCGGCUCACUGGCCCGAUACUGACGCUGAGGCACGAAAGCGUGGGGAGCGAACAGG